rnacentral:piRNA from 1 species
ACACUGGUGGUGAUGUAUAAAACUAGU